UUGGUGACUGUACGUUGAAGGGCGUGUCCGUGGCGUGCCCUCAAAGUUGGCCAUUUAGAACAAAUGUCACACUGUGAUGUCAUUUUGGCCUUUCAGGGCUUCUAUUUGAAUGAUUUCCUCUGACACGUUCUAACGGAUCUUCUUCAAAAUUGGGCAGUACAGUCACAACGUGGUGCUGAAUGAAAGCAUUAUAUUUUGUGACUGUACGUUGAAGGGCGUGUCCGUGGCGUGCCCUCAAAGUUGGCCAUUUAGAACAAAUGUCACACUGUGAUGUCAUUUUGGCCUUUCAGGGCUUCUAUUUGAAUGAUUUCCUCUGACACGUUCUAACGGAUCUUCUUCAAAAUUGGGCAGUACAGUCACAACAUGGUGCUGAAUGAACGCAUUUCAUUUUUUGACUGUACGUUGAAGGGCGUGUCCGUGGCCUGCCGUCAAAGUUGGCCAUUUUGAAGCCCGUGGUCCUGUAUUUGAACAAACAAACUCCUUGAGAAUUGAUCAGAUCUGCUUCAAAACUUGACAGUACUCUUGAAUAAUCUUGCUGAUUACAAGUUGUGCUAUUUAUGACUGUACGUUGAAGGGCGUGUCCCAGGUGUCUCGUCAAAGUUGGACAUUUUGAAUUCUGUGGUCUUUUUUUUCAAAGUGAUGAAACACAAACACCCCUCCGCUCCCACUAGCCACAUCUACAAACCAUAUUUCCUAGGGAGUAUUGUUCGUGGAGCAUAGUGUGAAACCGCUGGAAGUCACUUAUUAAAUUGCAAGAUAAAUAGGGGACUUAUCAAAUCGACUUCAAAAUUGGACAGUCUUAUAAAAACAAAGUGUACAUGAAGAAUUGAGCUAUUUGUGACUGUACGUCAAACUGCGUGCCACUGACCCCUUGUCGAAUUCAGAUGAUUUUCCAUUAAGCGGUACUCAUAACUUCAGUGUGCAAUGUCCAAUUUCCAAUAAACUUCAUAUAUUCUGUAACAGUCUCGCCCUGAACACGUCCUCAUAACAUCAGCCUACGUAUUACAGUCCCGCCCUGAACUUGUCUACGUGACAAGAUUCAGAUAAAGUGAAAGCACAGCAUACUGGCAACAGGAAGGAAGCGCUGCGUGGCGAUACGGAGCUGAUUUGGAGCAGAUUUACGUGACGUAUUCGCGUUGCGGUCCGCGCUUGUUACGACGGCACGUGGCGUGGCCUCGGCGCACCCCGACCGCACGUGACGCGUUUGCGGCGCGCCCCGACGAGCGCCGGGUGCGAGGUCCCGCCCAACGCUGCUUGCAGCUUUAAUUAGGGACCGAGCCAGUAUGAACUGGAAGGUCUCUAUUGUUUUUCCUUCGUUUAUUAUUAUUAUUAUUAUUAUUUUUAGCGACUUUGCUCGCAUUUUUCACCCCCUUAACAAUUAUAAUAUUCGCAUUUUAUUUGGCACAUUUGUCAAGCCUCAUUUAAAUUGGAGAUUCUAUGCGUCACAUGCAGGUCAGCCACUAGGAAGGCCACUAGGUGGCGCUAUUUGUAGGCCAAUUUCGAUACGCUAAUAACUCCCGCAUAGUUUGUCUCACAUUCAAAAACCUUAUAUCCACGCGUUCGGUGAAUGGAGCUGAACCUCCCCAUAUAGGCCACGCCCACUUCCGCCUAUUUUUUUUUUUUCUAGAGCGCAAAAUGUCCAUAAAUCACUUUUUCGUGUUCCUCCUACACACUUUUUCCGAUGCGCACGAAACUUUGCACGUUUCAUCUGUGGACCGUCCUGACAACAAAAGUAAUUUGAAGAAUUUUGAUAUUAUAAAACAUAAGGAAGUUAUACAAUUAGCACUUCCUGUUGAUUUUUCGUCAAAAAAGGAAGUGGGGUAUUUCUCCACAUUGGUAUGUCCGAUUUACACCAACCUUGGGUCCAUAGUUCCCCAUGUCUUCCUUAAGCAUCGUGCACAAUUUCAGGUCAUCACCACAAGGUGGCGCUCUUUAAAAUGAAGGAGUUUAUAGCUCUACAACGGUAUGUGUGAUUAAGAUGAAACUUUGUAUGCUGCUUCCCCAUGGCUCCCUGAGGCUCACCUAAAAAGGAAAAAAAAUCACGCCACUAGGUGGCACUCUGGUGGCAGGGUAAAUCACUGUGCGGACACCGUAAUAGUUAUGAAUAUGAAAGUUAUUGGGCGCGUGUAGACUGCUGCCUGAAGCUCACAUACCAAAAAUCGUGUUUGUCCUGCUUGUAGCGCCCCCUACAGGAUAAAAAAACAUCAGCCCCGGCGCCACGUUUCACCGACAUGUACGAAACUCAAUAGGCAUGUAUAAUGUGCCGGGGCGUACAAAAAAGCCUCUUGGACCCAUACUUCAAAUCCCACAGGAAGUCGGCUAUUUUCGUUGAAAAUUUGCACUUUUGGCAGCCAUUUUGUGGUCAUUUUGACCUUUUGGGCUUCUUUGUGAACUAACUGCUCCUAGGGAAUUUAUCGGAUCUGCUUAAAAAUUGGUCAGUACAGUCAAAACAUGGUGCUGAAUGAACGCAUUAUAUUUUGUGACUGUACGUUGAAGGGCGUGUCCGUGGCGUGCCCUCAAAGUUGGCCAUUUAGAACAAAUGUCACACUGUGAUGUCAUUUUGGCCUUUCAGGGCUUCUAUUUGAAUGAUGCCCUCCUACAGCUUCUAUUGGAUCUUCUUCAAAAUUGGGCAGUCCAGUCACAACGUGGUGCUGAAUGAACGCAUUAUAUUUUGUGACUGUACGUUGAAGGGUGUGUCCGUGGCGUGCCCUCAAAGUUGGCCAUUUAGAACAAAUGUCACACUGUGAUGUCAUUUUGGCCUUUCAGGGCUUCUAUUUGAAUGAUCUCCUCCUACACGUUCUAACGGAUCUUCUUCAAAAUUGGGCAGUACAGUCACAACAUGGUGCUGAAUGAACGCAUUUCAUUUUGUGACUGUACGUUGAAGGGCGUGUCCGUGGCGUGCCCUCAAAGUUGGCCAUUUUGAAGCCUGUGGUCCUGUAUUUGAACAAACAAAGUCCUUGAGACUUUAUCAGAUCUGCUUCAAAACUUGACAGGACUCUUGAAUAAUCUUGCUGAUUACAAGUUGUGCUAUUUAUGACUGUACGUUGAAGGGCGUGUCCCAGGUGUCUCGUCAAAGUUGGACAUUUUGAAUUCUGUGGUCUUUUUUUUUCAAAGUGAUGAAACACAAACACCCCUCCACUCCCACUAGCCACAUCUACAAACCAUAUUUCCUAGGGAGUAUUGUUCGUGGAGCAUAGUGGGAAACUGCUGGAAGUCAAGUGUUAAAUUGCAAGAUAAAUAGGGGACUUAUCAAAUCGACUUCAAAAUUGGACAGUCUUAUAAAAACAAAGUGUACAUGAAGAAUUGAGCUAUUUGUGACUGUACGUCAAACGGCGUGCCACUGACCCCUUGUCGAAUUCAGAUGAUUUUCCAUUAAGCGGUACUCAUAACUUCAGUGUGCAAUGUCCAAUUUCCAAUAAACUUCAUAUAUUCUGUAACAGUCUCGCCCUGAACACGUCCUCAUUACAUCAGCCUACGUAUUACAGUCCUGCCAUGAACUUGUCUACGUGACAAGAUUCAGAUAAAGUGAAAGCACAGCAUACUGGCACCAGGAAGGAAGCGCUGCGUGGCGAUACGGAGCUGAUUUGGAGCAGAUUUACGUGACGUAUUCGCGUUGCGGUCCGCGCUUGUUACGACGGCACGUGCGUGGCCUCGGCGCACCCCGACCGCACGUGACGCGUUUGCGGCGCGCCCCGACGAGCGCCGGGUGCGAGGUCCCGCCCAACGCUGCUUGCAGCUUUAAUUAUUAUUAUUAUUUUUAGCGUCUUUGCUCGCAUUUUUCACCCCCUAAACAUUUGCAAUAUUUGCAUUUUAUUUGGCACAUUUGUCAAGCCUCAUUUAAAUUAGAGAUUCUAUGCGUCACAUGCAGGUCAGCCACUAGGAAGGCCACUAGGUGGCGCUGUUUGUAGGCCAAUUUCGAUACGCCAAUAACUCCCGCAUAGUUUGUCUCACAUUCAAAAACCUUAUAUCCACGCGUUCGGUGAAUUGAGCUGAACCUCCCGGUAUAGGCCACGCCCACUUCCGCCUAUAAUUUUUUUUUUCUAGAGCGCAAAAUGUCCAUAAAUGACCGUUUCAUGUUCCUCCCACACACUUUUGUCCGAUUCGCACGAAAUUUUGCACGUAGCAUCUGUGGACCGUCCUGACAACAAAAGUAAUUUGAACAUUUUUGAUAUUUUAAAAGAUAAGGAAGUUAUAAAAUUAGCACUUCCUGUUGAUUUUUCGUCAAAAAAGGAAGUGGGGUAUUUCUCCACAUUGGUAUGUCCGAUUUACACCAACCUUGGGUCCAUAGUUCCCCAUGUCUUCCUUAAGCAUCGUGCACAAUUUCAGGUCAUCACCACAAGGUGGCGCUCUUUAAAAUGAAGGAGUUUAUAGCUCUACAACGGUAUGUGUGAUUAAGAUGAAACUUGGUACGCUGCUUCCCCAUGGCUCCCUGAGGCUCACCUUAAAAGGACAAAAAAAAUACGCCACUAGGUGGUGCUCUUUUGGCAUGAUAAAUCACUCGUAAUAGUUAUGAAUAUGAAAUUCACAGGGCACGUGUAGACUGCUGCCUGAAGCUCACAUACCAAAAAUCGUGUUUGUCCUGCUUGUAGCGCCCCCUACAGGAUAAAAAAACAUCAGCCCCGGCGCCACGUUUCACCGACAUGUACGAAACUCAAUAGGCAUGUAUAAUGUGCCGGGGCGUACAAAAAAGCCUCUUGGACCCAUACCUCAAAUCCCACAGGAAGUCGGCUAUUUUCAUUUAAAAUUUGCACUUUUGGCGGCCAUUUUGUGGUCAUUUUGACUCUUUGGGCUUGUUUUAGAACUAACUGCUCCUAGGGAAUUUAUCAGAUCUGCUUCAAAAUUGGUCAGUACAGUCACAACAUGGUGCUGAAUGAACGCAUUAUAUUUUGUGACUGUACGUUGAAGGGCGUGUCCGUGGCGUGCCCUCAAAGUUGGCCAUUUUGAAGUCUGUGGUCUUGUAUUUGAACAAACAAACUCCUAGAGAAUUUAUCAGAUCGGCUUCAAAACUUGACAGUACUCUUGAAUAAUCUUGCUGAUUACAAGUUGUGCUAUUUAUGACUGUACGUUGAAGGGCCUGUCCCAGGUGUCUCGUCAAAGUUGGACAUUUUGAAUUCUGUGGUCUUUUUUUCAAAGUGAUGAAACACAAACACCCCUCCGCUCCCACUAGCAACAUCUACAAACCAUAUUUCCUAGGGAGUAUUGUUCGUGGAGCAUAGUGUGAAACCGCUGGAAGUCACUUAUUAAAUUGCAAGAUAAAUAGGGGACUUAUCAAAUCGACUUCAAAAUUGGACAGUCUUAUAAAAACAAAGUGUACAUGAAGAAUUGAGCUAUUUGUGACUGUACGUCAAACUGCGUGCCACUGACCCCUUGUCAAAUUCAGAUGAUUUUCCAUUAAGCGGUACUCAUAACUUCAGUGUGCAAUGUCCAAUUUCCAAUAAACUUCAUAUAUUCUGUAACAGUCUGGACCUGAACGCGUCCUCAUUGCAUCAGCCUACGUAUUACAGUCCCGCCCUGAACUUGUCUACGUGACAAGAUUCAGAUAAAGUGAAAGCACAGCAUACUGGCAACAGGAAGGAAGCGCUGCGUGGCGAUACGGAGCUGAUUUGGAGCAGUUUUACGUGACGUAUUCGCGUUGCCGUCCGCGCUUGUUACGACGGCACGUGCGUGGCCUCGGCGCACCCCGACCGCACGUGACGCGUUUGCGGCCCGCCCCGACGAGCGCCGGGUGCGAGGUCCCGCCCAACGCUGCUUGCAGCUUUAAUUAUUAUUAUUUUUCAGAACAUUGAGCGCAUUUUUCACCCCCUUACCAAUUAUAAUAUUCGCAUUUUAUUUGGCACAUUUGUCAAGCUUCUCUAAACUCGGAGAUUCUAUGCAGAUCAGCCACUAGGUAGGCCACUAGGUGGCGCUAUUUAAAAAAAUCUUGAAAGGCUAAUAACUCCCGCAUAGUUUGUCUCACAUUCAAAAACCUUAUAUCCACGCGUUCGGUGAAUGGAGCUGAACCUCCCCAUAUAGGCCACGCCCACUUCCGCCUAGAUUUUUUUUUUUUUCUAGAGCGCAAAAUGUCCAUAAAUGACUUUUUGGUGUUCAUCCUACACACUUUGUCCGAUUCGCACGAAAUUUUGCACGUAGCAUCUGUGGACCGCCCUGACAACAAAAGUAAUUUGAAGAAUUUUGAUAUUUUAAAAAAUAAGCGUGUUAUAAAAUUAGCACUUCCUGUUGAUUUUUCGUCAAAAAAGGAAGUGGACCAUUUCUCCACAUUUGUAUGUCCGAUCGACACCAUGCUUGGGUACAUAGUUCCCCAUGUCUUCCUUAGGCAUCGUGCACAAUUUCAGGUCAUCACCACAAGGUGGCGCUCUUUCAAAUGAAGGAGUUUAUAUCUCUACAACGGUAUGUGUGAUUAAGAUGAAACUUGGUACGCUGCUUCCCCAUGGCUCCCUGAGGCUCCCCUAAAAAGGAAAAAAAUCACGCCACUAGGUGGCACUCUGGUGGCAGGGUAAAUCACUGUGCACACACCAUAAUAGUUAUGAAUAUGAAAUUCACUGGGCACGUGUAGAGUGGUGCCUGAAGCUCACAUAUCAAAAAUCGGGUUUGUCGUGCUUGUAGC